CACUCUUUGCACAAUGUUGACAUUCAAAAGUCCUUAUAGGCAUUUGAAUACACGCGCAUGCAAUGACCGAAUGUGAUGAAUAAUUAGAGACAACUGCAAAGUCAAUAAAGGUGAAUUUUACUUGUGUAACAGAAACAAACAUAAUACAACAUAAAUUAAACUCACGCGAGGAAGCUGUCUCCCAUGACCAAUUGCUCAUGAUGGAGAACUCCAAAUGGAAUGCAACUUAACAGAUCAGGUAUACAUCUUUAUUUAAGUAGUUUGGUGAGGAAGGCAAUACGUAACUUUCAAUA